rnacentral:rRNA from 1 species
GAUGAACGCUGGCGGCGUGCCUAAUACAUGCAAGUCGAGCGAACGGACGAGAAGCUUGCUUCUCUGAUGUUAGCGGCGGACGGGUGAGUAACACGUGGAUAACCUACCUAUAAGACUGGGAUAACUUCGGGAAACCGGAGCUAAUACCGGAUAAUAUUUUGAACCGCAUGGUUCAAAAGUGAAAGACGGUCUUGCUGUCACUUAUAGAUGGAUCCGCGCUGCAUGAGCUAGUUGGGAAGGUAAAGGCUUACCAAGGCAACGAUGCAUAGCCGACCUGCGAGGGUGAUCGGCCGCACUGGAACUUAGACACGGUCCAGACUCCUACGGGAGGCAGCAGAAGGGAAUCUUCCGCAAUGGGCGAAAGCAUGACGGAGCAACGCCGCGUGAGUGAUGAAGGUCUUCGGAUCGUAAAACUCUGUUAUUAGGGAAGAACAUAUGUGUAAGUAACUGUGCACAUCUUGACGGUACCCAAUCAGAAAGCCACGGCUAACUACGUG